rnacentral:rRNA from 1 species
AUGCCAUCAGCUAUCGUCUCGUCCCUAUGCACGGAGCAGGAGGUCGAAACGAUCAGCGUGAGGCACGACAUCCCAGAGAAGCUCACUCGGUGCCUUGCGGGCAACAAGCCCGUGUGCGCGCCGCCGGACGGCGGCGUCGGUGUGUACGUGGACGCGCUGGAGGCCGGGAUGCACUUCCCGCUGCACGGCUUCUUCCGCCAGGUGCUCGCACACUUUGGCCUGGCGCCCAGCCAGUUCACGCCCAACGGGUGGCGUGUUAUGGCCGGAUUCGUCGUGCUCUGCCACAAGUCCGGCGUGGAGCCGCCGCCUCUGGCCGUCUUCCGCCACUUCUUCUCGCUCCGCGCGCGCGGGGGAUGGUACCACUUCCGGGCUAAGGACGCCGCCGGGGGGCUCUUCACAAAGCUGCGGAAGGUCAAGGGCUGGAAAACACGAUUCUUCUUUUUGACCUCGCCGGAGCCGUGGCAGUUCCCCGCUUGCUGGGGCGGCCCCCCGCCCAAGAGUUCCACCGGUGAUCCGCUGCUCACGGACGAGGAGAAAACAUUGGCAAAAAAGCUUCUGGGCGCAAACUUCUCUGCUCAGUUACCUGCACAGCCGCCGCCUGCUGUUCGAAUCAGAGGAAUCAAUCCAUCUUCUGACGAGAUGACCGAGAAAAUGCCGGCAGCACGGAUGAAUUUGCGGUCGUCCGGGAGGAAGAGGAAGCUAGAGGAGGCCAACGCAAAUCAGGGAGUGCCAACGGUGAAGUCGCCGCCUGCAGCCCAUGGGGACAUGGCCGACACGGAGGCCACACAGGAGGCGCUGCAGGCCAUUCUCGCGGCCUCGCAGGGGUCGGUGUUCGCGGCGGCGAAGCCAUCCGACGUCGUCGCAUUGAGCCACGAAAAAGUGCUGCAGGGUUUGAGCUACGUGUCGUUCUUCCUGGAGCGCACCAUGGACCUGCAGGAGAAGGUGACCGCUCGGGAGGGCGAGGCCGCCGCGGAGGCUGCGGUGUUGCGGCAGGAGCUGGAGAGUGUGAAGGCCGAGCUGGCCGAGGUCAAGGACGCGGUCGGUGCGGUGGAGCUGGAGAACGCCAAGGAGCUGGCGAUGCAGGAGUUCCUUGGCUCCGAGGAGCACGCCCGUCGAGCUCCAGGGCUACGAUGCGAAGGGGUACGAGCGCGGCGUGGAGGACACGAGGAUGACCAUGCUCCGGCACUACCCACACCUCGACGGCAGGCGGCUCGUCGUGCCGCCGGAAGGGCCGUAUUGAUUGUAUCGUUCUGUCGUCGAUCGAUCCUUUUGGAGUCGGAGCUAUCCUGUGGUAUUAUCUGA